GAAUGUCUUCGGGGCAGGGUGAGGAGAGAUUGCCAUUUUCUAAGGAGAAGGCAACUCUGCAAUUCCCGACCGGCGGUUACAGUCCGCGACCCGUGUUCCACGGUGGAUCUGGUGAAACUCCAGGGCCGACAGUAUAGUCUGGAUGGGAGAAGACGAAA
rnacentral:ncRNA from 2 species